rnacentral:rRNA from 1 species
UACGUAGGGCGCAAGCGUUGUCCGGAAUCAUUGGGCGUAAAGAGCGUGUAGGCGGCUCGAUAAGUCUGCUGUGAAAGUCCAGGGCUCAACCCUGGAAGGCCGGUGGAAACUGUCGGGCUAGAGUCCGGAAGAGGCGAGUGGAAUUCCUGGUGUAGCGGUGAAAUGCGCAGAUAUCAGGAGGAACACCAAUUGCGAAGGCAGCUCGCUGGGACGUUACUGACGCUGAGACGCGAAAGCGUGGGGAGCAAACAGG